GGUUUAAUUCGAAGCAACGCGAAGAACCUUACCAAAUCUUGACAUCCUUUGACAACUCUAGAGAUAGAGCUUUCCCCUUCGGGGGACAAAGUGACAGGUGGUGCAUGGUUGUCGUCAGCUCGUGUCGUGAGAUGUUGGGUUAAGUCCCGCAACGAGCGCAACCCUUAAGCUUAGUUGCCAUCAUUAAGUUGGGCACUCUAAGUUGACUGCCGGUGACAACCGGA
rnacentral:rRNA from 1 species